UAUAACGAUUUACUUUCCGUGUGUACUUGACGCGCUUGGAUGCUUCCGUGUGAAUUUUGGUGAACUCAUAAUAGCUGUUAACCUCGACAGUAACGGUGUACAUGUGUUUACGUAAUAUUGGUAUUUUAUUCAACGGAUCGUUUAUGUAUUAUACGGUUAAGGGCCAGUGUGACGCACUAUUAAAGAGUCUUUCGUUGGCCCAUGGACAUCAUGGAACAAAAUGUCUCCACCACGAACGGUAUAAUCACUUUCAAUAUGAUGGCAGCAAUGUGUCAUAACAACAGAGGCAUUGGCUACCAGGGUGAUCUGCCAUGGCCAAAAUUGAAGGCCGAUUUUGAGUAUUAUUUAAAGACCACAUCCACACACAAAAAAGACUCCAGUUUGAUGAUUGUACAUGUACAUGGCCGUAAGAGCUGGGCGGGAUGUACGGACUUUCAGGCGAGCUAUGGAGGCGUAUAUCACAUCGUCUGUAGUCAGUCACGUGACCCAAGUAUCAAGACACACCCGAAUCUUCUGACGGUGGCCGGAAGUGUACCUGAGGCUCUCGAGUACAUCGCAGAUCUGAACCGGAACGGAAAAUUGGACAGCGUCUGGAUAAUGGGUGGUGCAGGCAUAUACCAGGAGUGCCUGUCUCAUCCGCUCUGUGGACGAAUCUAUCUCACUCACGUGUACAAGGACUUUCCGUCAGACACAUUUUUCCCGCCUUUUGAUGACGACUUCCGAGAAGUAAAGUAGGGAUUACAUGUCGCAUAAACGACGCCACUUCCGAUACCUAUCACGAAGAAGACGGUAUUUCUUUCGAAUUUAAAGUAUACCAGAAUAUAAGGAAAUCCAACACUUCUAUAUAAUUGAUACACUGAUGCCAACUCAGUGUAUUGCUACUAGUGUUUACCAUAUCCUAAAUAAUCAGUUAACGUGCUGAAACUGUAUUUUAUCUUUACUAAGAAGCUGAAAAUAAGCGUUAUUUAAAGGAAAGAAAACACACGAGCAUUAAUCUGUAAAACUGGGUUUAAUGUAUGUGCGCAAUUUUCUCAGGCUAGUAAUGGAAGACACGGUAAGCUUUGAUGAAACUUUUCUUUAAAAUGAAGUCUCGUGUUAACGAAACCCGUUUUCAAGCGGAAAGCUUCGGCCAUGAUUAGACUUUUCGGACUACACAGGCUAAUCUGGGAGGACACUUUCUGCACACACACUAUAGUAUGUAUGAUACAUUCAGGUCGGUUUCGUCAAAGCGUGGAUUUGAUUGUGAGGCAGAGAAAUAUAAUAUUUCAUUUCUGAACAUAAACUAUGCUAUCAUUGUUAAGAAUGUGUGCUUUGUACGUCAAUUUGUUGGUUUAUACCUAAAUGUAUGCUGCAAAGUCGUUUGCGAAUUGACAGACUAUUGACACGUGCCUUCAAAAGCGUUCCACACGAUAACAAAAAAAUGUUCUUUUAAACUCACCAAUAUUAUUGUGUUUGUUUACGCAACUGUACGUUGAUGUUUGUAUGUCCAUGUUUGGUCUGGUACAUGUAUAAGUAUGUUGAUAAU